UCAGGAUGAACGCUGGCGGCGUGCCUAACACAUGCAAGUCGAGCGAUCUCUUCGGAAGAGAGCGGCGGACGGGUGAGUAACGCGUGGGUAACCUGCCCUGUACACACGGAUAACAUACCGAAAGGUAUGCUAAUACGGGAUAACAUACUUUUAUCGCAUGGUAGAAGUAUCAAAGCUCCGGCGGUACAGGAUGGACCCGCGUCUGAUUAGCUAGUUGGUAAGGUAACGGCUUACCAAGGCGACGAUCAGUAGCCGACCUGAGAGGGUGAUCGGCCACAUUGGAACUGAGACACGGUCCAAACUCCUACGGGAGGCAGCAGUGGGGAAUAUUGCACAAUGGGCGAAAGCCUGAUGCCAGCAACGCCGCGUGAGCGAUGAAGGCCUUCGGGUCGUAAAGCUCUGUCCUCAAGGAAGAUAAUGACGGUACUUGAGGAGGAAGCCCCGGCUAACUACGUGCCAGCCGCCGC
rnacentral:rRNA from 1 species